rnacentral:tRNA from 1 species
GAAUUGUAGCUCAGUGGUAGAGCGCUUGCCUAGCAUGUGUGAAGCACUGGGUUCGAUCCUCAGCACCA